rnacentral:lncRNA from 1 species
ACCAUUUUAUGUUCAUCUUUUUUACCGAAAGUAGAAAGGAAAAAAAAGUUUGAAAGCUUCAAAUAUUCGGCCAUUUUGAAGCUUAAUUCAAGGUUAGUUUUUGUUCGGUUUUUGAUAAUUUUUACGUUUUUGAGAUCGUUGCUUUGAAUACUUCAAAACCCAUGUCUUAAUUUUGUGAAUUGUUGAUGAUUUUGAGAAAUGCCAUUGAUGAAUUCUUAAGCUUUGUGAUAGUUGAUGAUGAAAUAUGAAAGAUAUGUGAAAGAUUAACAUGUUUUAUCUUUAAAUUUUUGAUGAAUUUGAGUAAUUAGGUUAAAUUGUAAAAAAAAUAAAAGUUUGAAGGAUUAAAAUGUGAAAUAAAUGAAAUUUGUGGGCUUGUAUGGACACUAGGAAUAUUAGGUCCUUAAGGAGUGUAGUCAAAUUUUGUGUAUUUUGUGUUUUGAGCAAAAGGGCUAAAUUGUGAAAUGUGAAAUAUUAGGGGUAAAAAUGUAAUUUUUCCAUUUAUGUGUUCUUAGACUAAAUUGAAUGAAAAUAUUUUUAAAUGAGAUUUAUUUGAAUAUGUUUAGAUCAAGAAACCAAGAAAUCCGAUUUAGAUCGGGGAAAUCGAAAGUAGUUGAGUAGCCGAUCUAUUAGUCGACGACAUCCGAGGUAAGUUAUUAAGCAUAUAUAUAUUCGUAUCAUUUUAAAUCAGCUUAGUAUCUAUGUAAUUACGCUGAAUUAAAUGAUAUAUAUAUACAUGUAGUGAUAAAAUUAUUGAAAUAAGAUGUACUGAGUUGUUGACUUUUGACACUAAGUGUGCGAGUUUAAUUGUAAAGCACUAAGUGUGCGAGUUUAAUUGUAAAGCACUAAGUGUGCGAGUUUGAUUAUUGAGCACUAAGUGUGCGAACUUAUUAAAUAUUUUCGAAUAACUAUUAGCAUUGAGUAUUUUGUCUUAUUGAGAAAUCAUGAUUAGAAAAUGAGUAAAUACUUGGAAUUCUUGAGUAAUAACCAUUAUGGUUGUAUAUAAGGUUAAGCUUUGUAGGUAUUAAACCUAUGUGGUGAUUUUAUUUGGAAUCAUAUAUAUAUAUAAGAUGAUUCUUUAUAUUACAUGAUGAGGAAAUGCAUAAAGUAUUUGGCCUUGUGUUUAAAUUUGAAGAUAUGUUUAUGGUUGUGUAAUUAUAUUGAUUUUAGUUAAAUCAUAGUAAUAAGUGAAUAAUUAUCUUAUGAUAUGGUAAACUAAAGGUAAGAUGAUUUAGUAGUAUGGAUUUGUUGAAUAUUAUUUGAGAUAUCGGGUUAAAUAGUAGUGUUUAUUUGCUUAUAACUUACUAAGCUAAAUUAGCUUACAAUGUGUUGGAUAAUUGUUUUGAUGUAUAGAUUUUGGUGAACGCUACGUGUUCGGGGAUCGUCAGCUAAGCUCAUCACACUAUCGAUAUUUUCUUUUGGAACUUCGCUAAAUCGUUUUCAAAUAUAUGGCAUGUAUAGCAUAGUUAAAAUAUUGAUUUUGGAACCAAUGUGUAUAUGUAUUGAAAAGUCAUGCAAAAAAAAAAAAGGCUUAUCUCUUUUGGUUUGAAUUCGGUAUUAAUGCAUAUGUUUUAAUGGUCUAAAAUGUGGUAUAUGUUCAUGUUAAUUUUUU